UUAGGAAUAUUGGACAAUGGGCGCAAGCCUGAUCCAGCCAUGCCGCGUGAGUGAUGAAGGCCUUCGGGUUGUAAAGCUCUUUAGCCGAUGAUUAUAAUGACUGUAGUCGGAAAAUAAGCCCCGGCUAACUUCGUGCCAGCAGCCGCGGUAAUACGAAGGGGGCGAGCGUUAUUCGGAAUCACUGGGCGUAAAGCGUGCGUAGGCGGUUUUGUAAGUUGGAAGUGAAAGCCCAGGGCUCAACCUUGGAAUUGCUUUCAAAACUACAAGACUUGAAUUCGGGAGAGGAUAGCGGAAUUGUCAGUGUAGCAGUGAAAUGCGUAGAUAUUGACAGGAACACCAGUGGCGUAAGCGGCUAUCUGGACCGACAUUGACGCUGAGGCACGAAAGCGUGGGGAUCAAA
rnacentral:rRNA from 1 species